AUUGAACGCUGGCGGCAGGCUUAACACAUGCAAGUCGAGCGGGGGAAGGUAGCUUGCUACCGGACCUAGCGGCGGACGGGUGAGUAAUGCUUAGGAAUCUGCCUAUUAGUGGGGGACAACAUCUCGAAAGGGAUGCUAAUACCGCAUACGUCCUACGGGAGAAAGCAGGGGAUCUUCGGACCUCGCGCUAAUAGAUGAGCCUAAGUCAGAUUAGCUAGUUGGUGGGGGAAAGGCCUACCAAGGCGACGAUCUGUAGCGGGUCUGAGAGGAUGAUCCGCCACACUGGGACUGAGACACGGCCCAGACUCCUACGGGAGGCAGCAGUGGGGAAUAUUGGACAAUGGGGGGAACCCUGAUCCAGCCAUGCCGCGUGUGUGAAGAAGGCCUUAUGGUUGUAAAGCACUUUAAGCGAGGAGGAGGCUACUUUAGUUAAUACCUAGAGAUAGUGGACGUUACUCGCAGAAUAAGCACCGGCUAACUCUGUGCCAGCCGCCGCCGUAA
rnacentral:rRNA from 1 species